rnacentral:rRNA from 1 species
AAAAUUAGCCAGUCCCAUGGGUAUGAAACCCAUUUGAGCAAGAGUAGUACCAGGAUGGGUGACCUCCUGGGAAGUCCUCGUGAAAGGGUUUC